UGUGGCAUAUGGAGGUUCCCAGGCUAGGGGUCGAAUUGCAGCUAUAGCCACCAGCCUAUGCCAGACCCACAUCAACGAGGGAUCCAAGCCGCGUCUGUGACCUACACCACAGCUCACGGCAACGCUGGAUCGUUAACCCACUGAGCAAGGGCAGGGAUCGAACCUGCAACCUCAUGGUUUCCAGUCAGAUUCGUUAACCACUGCACCACCACGGGAACUCCAGUACCAUACUGUUUUGAUAGCUGAAGCUUUAUAGUAUAGUCUUAAGUCAGAGAGCCUGAUUUCUCCAGCUCUGCUUUUCUUUCUCAAGAUUUCUUUGGCUAUUCGGGGUCUUUUUUGUUUCUAUACUAAUUUAAUUAUUUUUGUUCUGGUUCUGUGAAAAAUGCCAAUUGUAAUUUAAUAGAGAUUGCACUGAAUCUGUAGGUCACCUUGAGUAGUAUAGUCAUCUUGGUGAUAUUGAUUCUUCCAAUCCAAGACUAUGGAUUUCGCUUUGUGUCAUAUUCAAAUUCUUUCAAUAGCAUGUUACUGUUUUAGAGUACCUGUCUUUUGCCUCCUUUGAGAGUUUUAUUCCUAAGUAUUUUAUUCUUUAUGAUACUAAGGUAAAUGUGAUUGUUUCCUAAAUUUAUCUUUCUGAUCUUUUCUUGUUAGUGUAUAGAAAUACGAGAGAUUUCUGUGUAUUGAUUUUGUAUCCUGAAACUUUACUGAUUCAUUGAUGAGCUCUAGUAAUUUUCUGGUAGCUUCUUUAGGGUGCAGGAAUUUUGCUUCUUUCCAAGCUCCCUCCUAGGCACACAGGUCCAGUCCUGAUUUCUUACCUAUCUUUCCUUCCUGAUUUUUUUUUUGUCCUACCUGAUUUCAUGAAGAUCUUCUUGCUCUAUCAGAAUCCUGAGGUCUUUUGCCAGUAUUCAGCAAAUUUUCUAUGAAUCAUUCCACAUGUAGAUUUAUUUUUGAUAUAUUUGUGGGAGGGGGUUAACUUCACAUCCUGCUACUCCACCAUCUUCUCUCUACCCCUACACAGUAUAGAAAUUAUUUGAUGGUUAUGAGGAUUAAGUUAAAUAAUACAUACAAAACACAUGGUGCUGAUUAAUAUGUUAGUUCCUAUUAUCAUUCCAGAUCAGUGUAUGAGCAAUAAGUUGAGCUCAUUGCUUCAUAGCCAUAUUUUAUUUGGAUCUUACAAUGCCAUUCCCCAAACUUAUCAGGUAGUUUAGUUAUGAGACUUUGUAUCUAAAUGACUUUUGACUCUGUAUUUACUCUUAAUGGUAACUAUUUCCUUACAUUAUAAAAUAUUGUGAAAUUUAAUGGAAAACUCAACAGAGGCAUUUUGAGGAAUGAUUCAAACACAAUCUUCAAGUCCAAGCACCUUUAAGAAAGAAAUAAUUGUGAUAUUCAGGAGAAAGGAAGUGAUGUCUCCUUCAAUGAUGAAAUCCUACUAACAUUUACUGAGCACCUUGUGUUUUGACCAGGUCCCCAACCUCCUUCAGCAGUAUGCAAAAACCUGCAAGGUGGAGUCCAUGUCUUUUUCAUCAUUUCAUGCCCAGCAUUCGGAGUACAAGAAGAAAACAUAAGGACUUGAUUUAAAAGUAUUUUUCUAUUUAGACAAAGAAAGCACCAGCAGUUACUUAGAGAAUUUUAUGGGGUGCUAAAAGAAACUGGAACAAAGGAGCAAUGUCUCUGACUUACAGUCAGACGAGCCUACAUUUUAGGGAUACAUUCAGCAGUGGUGAUGAACUUCAAAGUGUAUUGUAGUGGUGCUCCUAUUUGGGGUGAGUUGGCCAUGUGAGAAGUUUGGGAGACAAGUGACAGACUGGCUUAAAGGAGGAAUGAAUUCACAGAGUUGGCAUCAUUUGAACCACGAAUCAAGCUCUAUCAAUUCAGAAAGAUUUAUUGGGCACCUACUAAUUGUAUAGCACCGUGCAUUGCCCUAUGAGGGAUAGAAAGAAGUACAACACAUGGCUAUCAACUUCAGCAAUAAAACAGCUCUUUGCCUUUAUUAUCUUCUCUUUCGGGGAACUACGCUUUCUCCCCACUAAUAGCCUUUUUAUCAAAUGCAGUGAAGGUAUUCCCAACCCACUCUCCUGAAGCUGAAAUGACUUUUCUCUGAAUGUCCCUAUCUUCUCACUCAGUUGUCCUUAACUGCCCAGCUUCACAGCCACAAAAUGCUCCUGAGACUUUAGAGUACAGCUCAGUGACUUCCAUAGGGACCAGCUAAACUAAUAGGAAAGAUGAAAAGUGGGGAUGGGAGAAAACAUACCACACAAGAUAUACAUUAACCUGCACAUGUUCUAUAAUCCACCUCUCUUUGAUUUUAAAUAUUCCAUCUGUGCCUUGCAAUAUAAUAUAAUGGUUAUAAACAUAAAAUUAAUAAUAUAAAGUUAAUGAACAUGAACAUCCAAGAGGAUGCUAAGCACGUGGAGAAAUCUGAGUUAGAUUGAGUUGUGCCCCCAUUAAGGAACAUAAACAGCACUUGGGUUGCUUUACAUGUAGUAGCUGUAAUUGAAAUACUGCUUCCAAUCCAUAGUACUUUUCAGUCUCCCACAGAAAGUAAACAUGCCACAAGGAAAAAUAAGAUCAUAUCAUAGCAAAGGAAAUCAGAGUGGUUAUUAGUGUAUUAAUUGAAUACCAGAUGGAAAAGCAAAACAAACAAUAGCCUGCCAGGCUCCACAAGAAACAUCUUCUCAAUAUUUUAGAAGAAAAAUUAAAACAACAUGUGGCGGUGAAGUAUAUGGAUAGUAUAUUUUCAGCUAGCCUAAGUUUCAUAGUGACCAAAAUAACCCAUGUAUUAUAUCACUAGGGGAUGUGCAGUCAGAAAUUUUAGAGGAGUCCACCAACAUUUAUUUGGGAGUGACCUUUACAUAUAACAAAAUAGAUAUUAAGCUUUUCAGGUAAGUGAUGGUAGUUUAAUUAUCUGGAAAGAGGGUGUGUGUGAGUGUGUGUGUAUGUGUGUGUGUGUAUUUGUAUGCAUGCAUGCACUUCUGUCAAAUCCUUUGUCUUUCUAGCCAUGUGCAAAAGCCAUACACUGUCCUCAGUGGCCCGAAUCAAGAUAAAGGCAGUUCCAGUGGCCCAGAAACCUGUGGAUAGAUCUGCCCUAGGCUGGCAAGGUGGAGACUUCAGGGUACUUCCUGUGAACUGUCUAUACUGACCCCACUCACAGUUGAAGCCUUGAUCAUAAACAUUGCUUGAUAUAAGAAAAUGUUUAGCCUGUGUUCUCUUCUAGGAGUUUUAUGGUGUCUUGUCUUGUGUUUAAGUAUUUAAGCCAUUUUGAAUUUAUUUUUGUGCAUGAUGUGAGGGUGUGUUCUAGUUUCAUUGAUUUACAUGCAGCUGUCCAGUUUUCCCAGCACCACUUUCUGAAGAGACUGUCUUUUCCCCAUUUUAAAUUCUUGCCUCCUUUGUAGAUUAAUUGNNNNNNNNNNNNNNNNNNNNNNNNNNNNNNNNNNNNNNNNNNNNNNNUUUUUUUUUUUUUUUUUUUUUUUUUUUUUUUUGUACCAGUAGCACACUCUCUUGAUUACUAUAGCUUUGACCAUACAAAUGUUUUCUUAGGUCAGUCUCCUGAGGCAAUAGAAAUAAAAACAAAAAUAAACCAAUGGGACCUAAUCAAACUUACAAACUUUUGCACAGCAAAGGAAACCAUUAAAAAAAAGACAACCUAUGGAAUGGGAGAAAAUAGUUUCAAAUGAUGCAAUCAACAAGGGCUUAAUCUUUAAAAUGUACAAACAAUUUAUACAACUCAACAGCAAAA
rnacentral:lncRNA from 1 species